CUUGCCCACUCCUUCUGGAGGCUCAGGUCGCCCCCGUUCACAUUGUGACUACUGCAAGAAUGAUGGUCAUAUUGAGUCCCAGUGCUACACCAAGCGGAAACACCUGCGCAAGGCGCGAUCAUCAGGGACUGCGUCAUCUCCCCCGCCAGCUUCAGCCAUUGCUUUGACCGAGCAGGAUAUUCUGAGACUUAAGCGUCUGCUCGCGGCUUCAGGUUCUUCCUCGACGGGUACUGCUGGUUCUGUGACUGAUGCUUCCCGCACUGAGCACCCGCCCUCUACACAGUCAGGAUCGUCGCACGCACACUCUGGUUGGGGCUGGCCCUCGCCGCCGUGAUUCUCAGGGUCUUUGGGAGUUGGACUGGCUUCAUGUUCCUUCCGCUGCCACCACCAUCGCCAGUUCCUCCGCUGCUGUCGCUUCUGUUACUGGUUCCUUCAAGCAGUGGCAUCAUCGACUUGGUCAUCUGUGUGGUUCUCGAUUAUCGUCUUUAGUUCGUCGAGGCCUUCUGGGGUCUGUCUCAGGAGAUGUCUCUUUAGAGUGUCAGGGUUGUCGUCUUGGCAAGCAGAUUCAGCUACCAUAUUCUCAUAGUGAGUCAGUGUCUCAGCGUCCUUUCGAUUUAGUCCAUUCUGAUGUAUGGGGUCCGGCUCCUUUCACUUCGAAAGGUGGUCAUAAAUACUAUAUUAUUUUCAUCGAUGAUUUUUCUCGUUACACAUGGCUUUAUUUCA